CAACUAUAGACAAAGCUGUACAAAGUCGGAACGUGCAGACUAAGACCUUCGAGGUCUACGAUUUUUGAGUCAUGACACCUGAAUGUGAACGCCAGCAUUAUGCACUGUC
rnacentral:sRNA from 21 species